ensembl:lncRNA
GUCUGUUCCCUGAACUAGCAAAUACAAAAAACAUCCAAAACAAUUGAAGUGUAAUACUUUAAUUGAUGUUCAACAAAUAAAAAAAAUAUAUAUAUAAUACAGAUAAACAAAUGAUAAAGCUUGGCUUUUAGAAUAUGAAUGAAUAUUAGAUCCCUUUCUACAAAAGUGCUUUUUGUAAAUGAUAUGAUCACAGAUCAUAACUUGUGCUUUGUUUGUUUGACAGAAACCCAGCUAAAACCAGAUGAUUACCAUCACGAUCGUUGUGGUUCUUCGUUGUGUUGUGUUCUGUUCUAUUCUCCUGGCUGUCUUGGAUCGUGGAUUCCCCCGUUGUUCUUUGUAGAGUCUUCUUGUUCCCCUCACCUGAAUCACGAGCACCUUCACCAGAUACAGCACUGGAUCACCAAGGAUCAUCACUGUUGUCCACCGAGGUCCCUGCGUCACACACCAUCUGAGCUUGUGAUCGUCGCCACUCUUCCCCUGUGGUUUCAGCGUCCUUGUCUGUUUGUCUGACCAUAUUAUAUCUUGUCAUUAAACCACCUUGCAUUUGCAUCCUGUCUGAGUCAUGAUAAUUACAUUAAUUUUUUUUUUUAAUGAGCUUAGCCCCCCCAAGAUUACUGUUAUAAAUGUGAGCCGUGUCCUAAAGGUAAAGGGGGAGGUGUUGCUACAAUUUAUAAUAUUUUCAGUAUUUCUCUGUGCUCUGGUUUCAAGAAUAAUUCAUUUGAAGUAAUGGUGAUUGAAAUAACAUUACCCAGAGAAACAAGUGUUAAUGAUAAAUGCUCUGUGAUGUUUGUACUCGCUACUGUAAACAGGCCACCAGGGCACCAUACAGACUUUAUCAAAGAAUUUGCUGAUUUUCUAUCUUAGUUAGUGCUGGCUGCAGAUAAAGUCAUAAUUGUUGGUAAUUUUAAUAUCCAUGUUGAUGAUGAAAAAGAUGCAUUGGGAUCAGCAUUUACAGACAUUCUGAACUCCAUUGGGGUUAGACAACAAGUGUCAGGGCCUACUCAUUGUCGUAAUAAUACUUUAGAUGUAAUACUGUCACAUGGAAUUGAUGUUAAUGCCGUUGAAAUUCUGCAGCAGAGUGAUGAUAUCUCAGAUCAAUAUCUACAGUAGUCUCGUGUACACUUCAUAUAGCUAAAGCUGCACAUUCAACUCCUUGUUACAAAUAUGGUAGAACCAUCACUUCUACCACAAAAGACUGCUUUGUAAAUAAUUUUCCUGACUUGUCUCAAUUCCUCAGCAUAUCCAUUAGCUCAGAAAAACUUGAUGAUAUAACAGAAACUAUUAAAUCUCUCUUUUCUAGCACUUUAGAUAUGGUUGCUCCUUUACACUUAAAGAAGAUUAAGAAAAACAGUUCGACACCAUGGUAUAAUGAGUACACUCGCACCUUAAAGAGAGCAGUCCGGUAAAUGGAGCACAGAUGGAAGAAAACAAAACUAGAGGUUUUUUGUAUUGCAUGGCAGGAAGGUACUUCUACUUAUAGAAAAGCUCUAAAAACUGCUAGAUCUAAAUU